AGUGAGGAGCUCCUGUCGGAACUGGAACCCGCUUUACUUAAAAUCUUGAAUGAAUCUUGCCCAACGCCUCGGUUUACCUGAAUCCAGAGUGCAGAUCUGGUUUCAGAACAGAAGGGCCAAGUGGAGACAACUUCAUCGGGCACAUAUAUACAGAAACAUGAUUCCAGUGGCCAUGAGUCCCCCUGUGGGCGUAUACAUGGAUGAUCAUUAUGGCCCCAUCCCUAUUGUGGAGGUUAUUUGGAAAUAUCA